CAGCAGCCGCGGUAAUACGGAGGGAGCUAGCAUUGUUCGGAAUUACUGGGCGUAAAGCGCGCGUAGGCGGUUACUCAAGUCAGAGGUGAAAGCCCGGGGCUCAACCCCGGAACUGCCUUUGAAACUAGGUGACUAGAAUCUUGGAGAGGUCAGUGGAAUUCCGAGUGUAGAGGUGAAAUUCAUAGAUAUUCGGAAGAACACCAGUGGCGAAGGCGGCUUACUGGCUCAUUCUAGACGCUGAGGUGCGAAAGCGUGGGGAGCAAACAGGAUUAGAUACCCGCGUAGUCCCUGUCUCUUAUAC
rnacentral:rRNA from 1 species